rnacentral:rRNA from 1 species
CGCGAGUGUGAGCGAAUCUCAAAAAUAACGUCUCAGUUCGGAUUGUAGUCUGCAACUCGACUACAUGAAGCUGGAAUCGCUAGUAAUCGCGGAUCAGAAUGCCGCGGUGAAUACGUUCCCGGGCCUUGUACACACCGCCCGUCACACCAUGAGAGUCGGGAACACCCGAAGUCCGUAGUCUAACCCGCAAGGGAGGGCGCGGCCGAAGGUGGGUCCGGUAAUUGGGGUGAAGUCGUAACAAGGUAGC